rnacentral:rRNA from 1 species
UACGAAGGGGGCUAGCGUUGCUCGGAAUCACUGGGCGUAAAGGGUGCGUAGGCGGGUCUUUAAGUCAGGGGUGAAAUCCUGGAGCUCAACUCCAGAACUGCCUUUGAUACUGAGGAUCUUGAGUACGGGAGAGGUGAGUGGAACUGCGAGUGUAGAGGUGAAAUUCGUAGAUAUUCGCAAGAACACCAGUGGCGAAGGCGGCUCGCUGGGACGUUACUGACGCUGAGACGCGAAAGCGUGGGGAGCAAACAGG